rnacentral:piRNA from 1 species
UGUGAAGCAGGCGAUGGCCACACCUUGAU